AGAGUGCGUAAUAGCUCACUGGUCGAGAGACCCUGCGCCGAAGAUUCCCGGGGCUAAAGUACGAAACCGAAGCUGUGGCUGUAUACGUAAAGUAUACGGGGUAGGGGAGCGUUCCCAUAGGGUAGAAGUCGAACUGGAAGGUUCGGUGGACUUGUGGGAAGUGAGAAUGUUGGUAUGAGUAGCGAAAAGAAAGGUGAGAAUCCUUUCCACCGAAAGCAUAAGGAUUCCUGAGCAACGAUCGUCGUCUCAGGGUAAGUCGGGACCUAAUCCGAGGCAGAGAGCGUAGGAGAUGGACAACUGGUUGAUAUUCCAGUACCGGUAGUAAUUGUUUGAGCAAUGGAGUGACACAGAAGGGCAGGCAAGCAUGCGAAUGGAAGAGCAUGUGUAAGCGUGUAGGGUGGUGCAUAGGCAAAUCCGUGCACUGAAAGCCUGAGGCGUGAUGCGGAGUGAGCAGAGAUGCGAGCGAAGUUGCUGACCCCACACUGUCGAGAAAAGCUUCUAGUGAGAGAGCUACCGCCCGUACCGUAAACCGACACAGGUAUGCGGGGAGAGAAUCCUAAGGUGCGCGGGAGAACCCUCGUUAAGGAACUCGGCAAAAUGUACCCGUAACUUCGGGAUAAGGGUAGCCACUGUUGUGAAGUCCCAUGCGGAUGGAGCAUAGAGUGGUCGCAGAGAAGAGGCCCAAGCGACUGUUUACCAUAAACACAGGUGCCUGCUAAAGCGAAAGCUGACGUAUAGGUGCUGACACCUGCCCAGUGCCGGAAGGUUAAGGAAGGAUGUUCGGAUUAGUCCAAAGCAUUCGACUGAAGCCCCGGUGAACGGCGGCCGUAACUAUAACGGUCCUAAGGUAGCGAAAUUCCUUGUCGGGUAAGUUCCGACCCGCACGAAAGGCGUAAUGAUUUGGGCGCUGUCUCAACGAGGGGCCCGGUGAAAUUGAAAUACCUGUGAAGAUGCAGGUUACCCGCGACUGGACAGAAAGACCCCAUGGAGCUUUACUGUAACCUGACAUUGGGUUUUGAUACAUUACGUACAGGAUAGGUGGGAGGCUUGGAAAGCUGGACGCUAGUCUGGCUGGAGCCGACGUUGGGAUACCACCCUUGAUGUAUUGAAAUUCUAACCGCGAGAGUAACGAAAUCCGGGACAGUGUCAGGCGGGCAGUUUGACUGGGGCGGUCGCCUCCGAAAGAGUAACGGAGGCGCCCAAAGGUUCCCUCAGCGCGGCCGGAAAUCGCGCGAAGAGUGUAAAGGCAGAAGGGAGCUUGACUGCGAGUCAAACACGACGAGCAGGUACGAAAGUAGGGCUUAGUGAUCCGGUGGUACCGAGUGGAAGGGCCAUCGCUCAACGGAUAAAAGCUACCCUGGGGAUAACAGGCUAAUCUCUCCCAAGAGUCCAUAUCGACGGGGAGGUUUGGCACCUCGAUGUCGGCUCAUCACAUCCUGGGGCUGAAGUCGGUCCCAAGGGUUGGGCUGUUCGCCCAUUAAAGUGGUACGUGAGCUGGGUUCAGAACGUCGUGAGACAGUUCGGUCCCUAUCCAUCGCGGGCGCAAGAGAUUUGAAGGGGGCUGCUCCUAGUACGAGAGGACCGGAGUGGACGAACCGCUGGUGUACCAAUUAUCCCGCCAGGGGUACAGUUGGGUAGCUACGUUCGGAAAGGAUAAACGCUGAAAGCAUCUAAGCGUGAAACCAGCCUUAAGAUGAGAUCUCUCAUAGAGCAAUCUAGU
rnacentral:rRNA from 1 species